UGGGGAAUAUUGGACAAUGGGGGAAACCCUGAUCCAGCGACGCCGCGUGGGUGAAGAAGGCCUGCGGGUUGUAAAGCCCUUUCGGUGGGGAAGAAAAGCCUCGACCUAACACGUCGGGGUAUUGACGUAACCCACAAAAGAAGCACCGGCUAACUCUGUGCCAGCAGCCGCGGUAAUACAGAGGGUGCGAGCGUUAAUCGGAAUUACUGGGCGUAAAGCGCGCGUAGGCGGCUAUACAAGUCGAGUGUGAAAUCCCCGGGCUCAACCUGGGAACUGCAUUCGAGACUGUAUGGCUUGAGUAUGGGAGAGGGGGGCGGAAUUUCAGGUGUAGCGGUGAAAUGCGUAGAUAUCUGAAGGAACAUCAGUGGCGAAAGCGGCCUCCUGGACCAAUACUGACGCUCAUGUGCGAAAGCGUGGGGAGCAAACAGG
rnacentral:rRNA from 1 species